UCACACCUUCUCAAGCUUCUAAAGAAUUGAAUAAGUCACGUCUGUUAUUUAGCAUAAAGGUAGAAGCUCUGGAAGACCUAUUGUUUAAUCAACUUUGAGAGCCAUCCCCUGUUGGG